CAAAACUCCAACCACGCCGCCCGACGUUCUAUUGCCGGCUGUGAACUUAGCCGUUUUUUGCUCAGAGAAUCGUUGAAGAAGAUGGGGCUGAAAAAGAUAGUAUCUGGGAGGAACCUUAUCGAUAUGGACGAUCUCAGAGCAGACGAUCAAUCUAGAGAGAGAGAUGGUUAGAAAGAAUAAUAACUACUUCACUUAAUGCACCACCAUCCAGUGCCUGAAGAUAAUAGUGCUGGCCACAGAAACACGACGGGUGCCAGGCACUACAGGUUGCUGGGGAGGGAGGAGGCGGACAGAAACACGACG